UACAUGCAAGUCGAACGGUAACAGGUCUUCGGAUGCUGACGAGUGGCGAACGGGUGAGUAAUACAUCGGAACGUGCCUAGUAGUGGGGGAUAACUACUCGAAAGAGUAGCUAAUACCGCAUGAGAUCUACGGAUGAAAGCAGGGGAUCGCAAGACCUUGUGCUACUAGAGCGGCUGAUGGCAGAUUAGGUAGUUGGUGGGGUAAAGGCUCACCAAGCCAACGAUCUGUAGCUGGUCUGAGAGGACGACCAGCCACACUGGAACUGAGACACGGUCCAGACUCCUACGGGAGGCAGCAGUGGGGAAUUUUGGACAAUGGGCGAAAGCCUGAUCCAGCAAUGCCGCGUGCAGGAUGAAGGCCCUCGGGUUGUAAACUGCUUUUGUACGGAACGAAAAGCUCUGGGCUAAUAUCCCGGAGUCAUGACGGUACCGUAAGAAUAAGCACCGGCUAACUACGUGCCAGCAGCCGCGGUAAUACGUAGGGUGCAAGCGUUAAUCGGAAUUACUGGGCGUAAAGCGUGCGCAGGCGGUUAUGUAAGACAGAGGUGAAAUCCCCGGGCUCAACCUGGGAACUGCCUUUGUGACUGCAUGGCUAGAGUACGGUAGAGGGGGAUGGAAUUCCGCGUGUAGCAGUGAAAUGCGUAGAUAUGCGGAGGAACACCGAUGGCGAAGGCAAUCCCCUGGACCUGUACUGACGCUCAUGCACGAAAGCGUGGGGAGCAAACAGGAUUAGAUACCCUGGUAGUCCACGCCCUAAACGAUGUCAACUGGUUGUUGGGUCUUAACUGACUCA
rnacentral:rRNA from 2 species